rnacentral:rRNA from 1 species
ACGGAGGAUGCAAGCGUUAUCCGGAUUCAUUGGGUUUAAAGGGUGCGUAGGUGGCUCUUUAAGUCAGUGGUGAAAUCCUGUCGCUCAACGAUAGAAUUGCCAUUGAUACUGAAGAGCUUGAGUUCAGUUGAGGUAAGCGGAAUGUGUAGUGUAGCGGUGAAAUGCUUAGAUAUUACACAGACCACCGAUUGCGAAGGCAGCUUACUAAACUGACUCUGACGCUGGUGCACGAAAGCGUGGUGAUCUAACAG